AUCCAGCUGACAAGUCCCAAGUAGGACGAAACGCGCGUCAGACUAGAU
rnacentral:hammerhead_ribozyme from 1 species